UGAUUGGCCAGUACAUCCCAUGCUGGCUUCCUCCGGUGAAUCAACCUUCCUCUCUGCUUCCUACUCAUAUAGUAUGAUGCUGGGUCUACCGUCUCCUACAUAACAGCCACAAAGUUCCUCUCGGCCAUGAACAAGGAGGCACGCGCCGCCUAGGUAGUUUGUGGUUAUAUAAGGAGCUAGUUGAGGGAUCAAGAGAGCAAAUGGCAGCAGGAGAUUGGAGAGAGACAGUGGGUGCGUAGCCUCAACUACUCUUCAAGUCCAUGCCAUGCCUUUCCACAGCUUUCUUGAACUUCUCUCUCUCUCUCUCUCUCUCUCUCUCUCUCUCUCUCUCACACACACACACACACACACACACACACACUCACACACACACACACACACACACACACAGUCAAUUGCGCGUGCAAGUUGGGACAAGUUGUAGAAGAAGGUCAAGAAAGCUGUGGGAAGAAAUGGCAUAACAAGGACUCUGAAUUAUUUUAGCAAUUACAAUGAUGAGAUGUGAUGCUAAAUUGCUAAUUCCCCAUCAGCAUGUAAGUUACUCAUCUGAAUCCCUCAUGCUUUUACUGCUUCAAUUAAUAGAUGUCAGUGUAUCACUAGCUACUCGUGCAACUUGCAGCUUUGAUACCGUCGAGUAAUGCAGGCCAGUUUUGCUUUCGCCUUCUGCUUCUAUGAUCUAUGCUCCCUUCUUGAUCUUAUUAUCCUUUUUUUCAGAUGUGAUUGCUAAAUGAGCCAGCUUCUAUUGUUCGGAAAAAAAAAUAAGCUAGCUUCUUAACUGUAAAUACGGAGCUAGCUAGUCGAGUUCGCGCAUAUGCAUUGAAGACCACUCAUGGAUUGCUUCUAUAACGUUUAGCUUUCAAUUUUUUUCAUUGCGCCCCUUGAAAAGGUUAGCCCUGUAUACAAAUACAAGUGAGACUUAUAGCUUCCUCAAGAUUUCUUGCAAACCUGAUUUGCCACUGCUAAUGCCCAGGCUCAUAAAAUAUAUAGGACAUGACUAUUUCUAGCCCCUUACCCUUCUCUAUACCGAAAGAAGUUCAUGAUCUUUUCCCCAUUUUUUCUUUAUUUUCUCUGGUUACAUAAAAAGCAAGUUUUGCAGAGAGUAUAAAAUGUAGCCGCAUGGUUUAUUUGAGUCUUGAGUUGAUAGUAAAUUUCCUUAUAUUUUCACAGCUGCUCAUUGAACUUCUCAGCAUAACAAAUUUCUAUAUAUUUCUGUUUUUAGGAAUAAUGUUUCUUAUCAUCUCCCAAUGCUGACAUAGCACUAGUGUCACCAUUUUUCGGCUAUUAAUUUAACAUAUCCGUUCCGCAUGUCUUAAUUUGCACAGUACUGUUUAAAAUAGCCAGAUUUUUCGUGAGCUAUGUUAAUAAACUAUUUCUCCUUUAUACAUCAGCCAUAGCCUGUUUAAAAUAGAGUUCCAUAGUAUGCUGUAAGCUAACUUUUGCUUUACGCCUUUACCCCACAAGCAGUGACAGAAGGAGAAAACAGCUUUCCCUUCCCCUGGCUCACUGACUCACUCCAUCUCUCUUCACACUCACCGUACUAGCCACCCACUCAAAAUUCAGAAAGCUCUAUGCUCCAUCCAUGAUCCAUCCAUCCAUCACGACAAAUACAAGGUCGGCACAAGCCAACAAAGCAGGGCCACUGACAGGUGGACCCCUCGCCGAUACCAGACCCACAUGUAGUGCCAGCAGCUCAUGCAGUGACGGCGGGUAGGCUGUCAGUCAGAGGCCAGACGAUUUAUUACCUCCCUCAGUCCCUCUUGGCUCUUGCUCUGGGCGGCUGGGCCUCAGAUCUCACUCGCCUUCUCGCUCAUGUCAUGGAUGCAUGGGAGAGGGAAGCCCAUCUGCCCAGGAAUGGAUUUCACUGCAAGCAAAGUGUCAAAGUUGGGAGUUGGGAGUAACUAAACAUGGCCGUAGAAGGGAUGGGUCGCUGCAGCAGCAAGGAAUCCAGUAAAAAUUCUCUGGACUCGACUCUGGAGUCUGGAAUCUGAAGCCUGCAGCUGCAGGCAUGGGCGGCAGAAGGAACAUCAUGCCUUCCACGACCCAAAUUGCAUUCCACUGCUUUCUGUUCUUUACACAGGUUAUUGAAAAAGUUUCUGGCUGUGAUAGCAUAGAUGCACAGUGUGUAAAUUUGCUCACGGUUGCUAUAAAGUAUUACUGGUACUACGCAA